CCUACGGGAGGCAGCAGUGAGGAAUAUUGGUCAAUGGCCGGAAGGCUGAACCAGCCAUGCCGCGUGAAGGUCAGUGCCCUAUGGGCGUUAAACUUCUUUUGUGCGGGAGCAAUAGUGGUCACGUGUGGCCCGACGAGAGUACCGUACGAAUAAGCCUCGGCUAACUCCGUGCCCGCAGCCGCGGUUAUACGGGGGAUGCAAGCGUUAUCCGGAUUUUUUGGGUUUAAAGGGUGCGUAGGCGGUGAGGUAAGGCAGCGGUGAAAUGCCCCCGCGCAACGGGGGGAAGUGCCAUUGAUACUGCCUGGCUGGAAUGGGGAUGCCGUAGGAGGAAUGUGUGGUGUAGCGGUGAAAUGCAUAGAUAUCACACAGAACACCGAUUGCGAAGGCAUCACAC
rnacentral:rRNA from 1 species